UUUUUUUAUUAGACUAGGAAAUAUAAUUUAUUUUGUAAAAAUUAAUUUUGUUACAAUAGGAAUGCUAAACUUUAUUUACAGGUUGAAGUUUACAGAACAAACGGCGGUGGGAUAGGGCCAUCCCUGCAGCCCUACAUCCCCGGGACACAUAACCAUGUCCAUGGCCCAGGCAGGGGGUCCAGCCCUUUGCCCCCAGGAGAGCUGCUCCCUGCACCCAAACUCCUGGUCACCUUCCCUCAGGGGGCAUACUAAGGGACCUGGCUCAGCUGCCUGGUUGCUGGGGAAAAGGGGACCAGAGGGUCCUGGAGCACCCAGGAGCUGGGGGCCCCCGCCACGCCCUCAGGAGGACCCCUGGCCCGGAGUUCUGGAGCCCGGCUCACUGCAAGAGAAGGCAGAGGGGGAGGCACGUAGAGGAUACGUCGAUGGACCCUGUGGACUCAGAGAGGUCACAUGCUCACACCUAGGUGGGGGCAUGUUCCUGGACGGACACCCUGAUGUGCCUGCAGACAAAAGCACACGCACAAGGGCACACCCAUGCAUGCACGUGCAGACACGCCCCAGAGAUGAGAGACACAUAAACACCCACGCGAGGCCCCUGCAAGCCCUGCGGGGGGUGGGGGGGGCCCUGGUCUGCCCCUUGUGGGGUCCGUGGGCCAUGUAGGGAGGCCUCUAAGGUCUACAGAGGAGGAGAAAUCCUGAUCCUACCCUAAGGCGGGCCGUGUGGGAUAACAGCCACAGCAGCCUCAGCAGAGGGCUGAUUGGAUGGAGCCCAGCCAACCCUUUCCAGGCGUUUCUUAUAAAGCCAGGCAGUUCGAACCCUCCCAGGAGGCUCCAGCCUAUUGGUUCUGUGCCCCAGGCCCCGGUACACAAUUUCUGAAAAUCAGCUAAGAAAUGGCACGUGAGCAGCUGGCCUGGCCUCAUCCACCAGGGGCUCCCUCCUGGGUGCUGAGCAAGCCGGGCAGAGAGGAGGGGCAUGGCGGACCACGGCCAACCUCCCCCCACCAGCAACCUACAGUGGCCACGUGUCAGGACCCAAAGGGAGUCAGAUGGUAGCUGCAGGUGUAAAGAGGAAGUGAGGCCCAGAGAAGGCAGUCCUAUGCCUGGGGUCACGCAGCAGGCUAAUGGCACAGCUGGGGCUGGAAUGUGCUGGUCUUUGGACCCCGGGCUGCCCGUGGGCACUGUAGGGACUGACGGGAAGGGUGCAGCGGCAUUGCUUAGGCUGCUCCCACAGCCGUGUUGCCACACAGGCUUGCACAGCGCAGGCUCGGAGUCAUCAGGGACGCUGAGCCCACGGCGGUGGGCACCUCUGGCAGGAAGGUUCGCUGCCUUUGAGGCAACACCACAAAGGCACUGGAGUGAAGAGCUGUUGCUGCCCAGCCCCGAAUGCAGGCCUGGCCCCUUCAGCGGCCCUAUACAAAAACUCCUCUCUCGAACCCAGCCAGCCUGUCUGCCCGUGGCUGACCUAACCCCUGGGAGGUAGGUAGGUGGUUGAGAACCCCCAUAAGCCCCAGAGUCCAUGGCAGGGACACCAAAUGGGACUGGAGCCCCCAAAUCUGCUUUCCUCCCAGGAGACUAGACUUUCAAAGGCCAGGAUAUGCCCAGGCUGGUCCCAGCAGCUGCUCACGGGCAAGCUGGGCAAGCCCUGGGGUCAGUGCCCACCCAGAGCUGUCCGGCGGCGGGGGCUGGCACUGCUUUGCUCCGGGUGCCAAAGAGGAGCGAGAGGCCUGUGAUGAGGCUCUGUGCCAGUUCUAAGAGCCUGGUCGCAGCCACUGUUAGCUGGUCAACAAGGGACCUUGAUUUGAUGGCCCCUUGGACAUGCUGGAGCAGGCUGGUGAGGGGGUACUGGCCCCUCCCCUCUGGCAGCCCUGCCUGUUCACAGCUCACUUCAAGACCUCCCAGACUGCAGAAGGAGGCCGAGACCCGGGCUGAAGGUGCCAGUGGGGGUCAGAGCUGGAAGACAGCCCUCCCCAGGUGCUCGUCCACUGGGGCGGGCGUGUGGAACAACACAGCCAGGCCACCUACCUCCCGGCCUCCCGGCCCGCAGGGCUGACUGCUGACACGGUCUUCAAAGCCACACCGGGGCCCAGAAGCUCAGGCUUCUGCUGUUAGAGGCCUUCUCAUCCAUCCCUUCUGUCUUAUGGAUGAACCUCCCCAGCCAACUGAGGCUCGGGGGUGCCGGGCAAUGGGUGACCUGGCUGGUCCCACCCUGGGGUGAGGGAGAGAAGUGUCCCCAGGAGACUCUCAUCUUCCCUCCCCUUUCCCAUCGGCUUCUUUCUCUGCUUGGGGCCCCACCUCUGGGCCCUGUCCCCUUCUCCGGGAGCCCCCAGAGGGGGACACUGGAGACCCUGUCCCUGGCUCACAGCUAGCACGGCCUGCCCACACUUUCUACCCCAGGGCCUUGUAAUCUGCACUCCCCAGGGGCCCAGGGAGCCUGUGGGGCACCUGCCUGGGGAGGUAGGAGGACGAGAUGACCCCACCCCACUCCAGACCUCAGGGCUCCUUGGCUUUACAGAUUCGGCAUCUGCUUAAGAUUUUAGAAGGAAACGUGGUACCAUGGCUAAAACCCCAUCUGACCCUGUACAACUGGGGAAACUGAGGCCUUUUAGGAAUUAGUCUAAGACGGAAUCAUUAGCAGCAAGGUGUUCCCUGUUCUGUCUCUCUCUCUCUCUCCCUGAUAAUCUCACACACACGCACACACACUCACACACUCACACGCUCACUCCUGGCCAGAACCGUGAGCAAGCCUGCACUCACCCGCACUCAAGAAAAGAGUUUUCUAUUUUUUUUGUGUUGUUUUUUUCAUUUUCUUUUUUUUUUUCUUAAAAAGGACUUAUCCAAAUAUUUGGAUAAUAAAUCAUGUGCGUUUCCUAAGAAACUGGGUUUUUCUUUUCCCUUGUGGUUUUGGCGUUGCUCUUUUUUUCUUCUUGGAGCCUGACUAGCGGCCUGAAGUGUCUUUCUUCCUUUCCUUUUCCCUUUUGCUUUGGACAGGAGAAAGCAGUUCGUCUGAAUUGUACUUGACUCUUCAAAGAGGAAAACGGUGUGAAAGGAGAAGGGGGCUCGGGGCGGGGUGGUGGCGGGGAGGGAGACACCAGGAACUGAGGAAGAAACUGGAAGGACGCAACUACGACAAAGGUAACCCAGAACUCCCAGGGUGGAGGCGGCCUGGUGGGGUGGCAGGAGUGGGGAGGGCUCC
rnacentral:lncRNA from 1 species